rnacentral:lncRNA from 1 species
UGAGCCUGCUGCCUGGAGUUCUUUUGGGGGCAUAGGGGUCCCCAAAAGGGAGUUCUUGGGUUAUAAAUAUCUCUUCUCUGCAAAGGCUGCUUGCUCUCUCUCUCUCUCUCUCUCUCUCUCUCUCUCCCCCUCUCCCUCCCUCCCUCUCCCCUCUUUCCCCCUCUAUACUGAAACACCCCUGUGUCUAGGAGGGGCUUCUAGUGUAGCCAGAAGAGGCACAAUCUUGCAAGAAAAAGAAAAAAAAACUAUGUCUAGGACCCCAGCUUGUGGGACAGUGCUUCCCACAUUCAGGGUGGGUCUUUCCUCCUCCGUUUAACCUCACUGAAAACUUCACAGACACACCAUGCUUCCAUGGAGAUUCCAAAUCCAAUUAAGUUGACACUUAAGAUUAAGGAGACGAGAGCUUAACCUAUUGGUACUUCGGGGGUAAUGCUG